rnacentral:rRNA from 1 species
AGAUUGAACGCUGGCGGCAUGCCUUACACAUGCAAGUCGAACGGCAGCACGGGAGCAAUCCUGGUGGCGAGUGGCGAACGGGUGAGUAAUACAUCGGAACGUGCCCAAUCGUGGGGGAUAACGCAGCGAAAGCUGUGCUAAUACCGCAUAAGAUCUACGGAUGAAAGCAGGGGAUCGCAAGACCUUGCGCGAAUGGAGCGGCCGAUGGCAGAUUAGGUAGUUGGUGAGGUAAAGGCUCACCAAGCCUUCGAUCUGUAGCUGGUCUGAGAGGACGACCAGCCACACUGGGGACUGGACGACACGGCCCAGACCUCCGAGGGAGCAGCGAGUAGGGAUAGUUGGACAAGUGGGACGAAAGCCGUAGACUCCGAGCAAGUCGCCGCGUUGAGUGACGUAGG